UACGUAGGGCGCAAGCGUUGUCCGGAAUUAUUGGGCGUAAAGAGCUCGUAGGCGGCCAACUAAGUCAGACGUGAAAUCCCUCGGCUUAACCGGGGAACUGCGUCUGAUACUGGAUGGCUUGAGUUUGGGAGAGGGAUGCGGAAUUCCAGGUGUAGCGGUGAAAUGCGUAGAUAUCUGGAGGAACACCGGUGGCGAAGGCGGCAUCCUGGACCAACACUGACACUGAGGAGCGAAAGCCGGGGGAGCAAACGGG
rnacentral:rRNA from 1 species